UUCUGAUCUGGCUUCAGAAAUGAAAGGGACAAACUCCACAUUGCUGAAAUUAAAUUUUGGAUUGCUAAAAUGGAAUUUGGCAAUCUGGAGUUUGGAAUGAUAAUUUCAGAUAGCAAACCUGACUUCGAUAAGGAGAUCAUUCAUGGCACUGACAACCUUCCUGCCCAGUUUAUUGGUGAAACAAAUUUGUUGAUCUAAUGUUAGUUUUUUGAUGCUCAAAUAACCGCACAGUAUUUCCUGAAAAGCAUGAGGACAAGCACUCUGCUUCUGUAAGGACACUUUUUCUGUACUGGGAAUAUAUAUGGGAAUAUAUGGAAUUGAAACAGCUGUUGUGUGCCUGUUCUGCUGCUUUAGGGUCGGUGCAGCCAGAAACAAGCCCAGCAAGGAGCCCAGAAUCCCUUCAGUGACAGUUCUGUGCUGGAGAGACAGAUCCUUUCCAAGCAAGCACCGCCUGUACAUGGGAUGGCUAUUUUUGAAGAAAGAACAUAUUUGUAGAUGACUUAGUGACUUACUGCAGGUAACUACAGAACUGUGGAGAAGGGCUGGAUGGGGGGGAGAUGAUUCUAGAAAUCUCUCCCUAAUAUCUGCAUUCGACUUUGUAAUGUUAAUUUAAUCUUGUGUCAUUUACAUAAGUUCAAAUCCUUACAAAUAUUCAGGUGCUAAGACCUUGAAGAUAAUUUGGUAUACAGCUACUUUAUUGUAACUCACAGGAGGUUGUUUGAAUGUAAAGCUGUUACAUAGAAAGUGAAUUCAAAUUUCAGCAGUUUGCAGAGUCCCAUUGACAGAUCAUGGUCCUUAAACCAACAUAAACCGAGAAAAAAAACACGAGCAUGUUUUGUAACUCUCGUAAUAGUAGCUGGAAAGGCUCAGUAUCUGCAAAUCCUUUACAGCCGUUAACUGCUACUUACAUCAAAGAAAGCCAACCUUUUACACGCUGUACUCCUUCCCUACCAGCCACAUCUACAGUUUGCGUCCAUAAUUAUUCAUGCUAUUUCCUAAGAACAAAACAGGAGCAGAAAAAACCCAGUGGUUCACUGCUGAGCAUGUGAAAUUAAAGUGCUGCCUAUUUGUUAAAUUUUAACAUCCAGAGCUGUGAACUGCCAUGACCACAACGCCAGCAUUCCAUGCGUUCUGUAGCCUUGUUACGGGCCAGGAGCUGCCAGCAGAGAGGCAGGGCAGAUGCAUACAGUGAACCCUAACCAGCUUGCCAGGAGAAUGUGAAGCUCUCUGUGGUACGAUUUGAUGAAAAGCUGAAAAAAAAAAAACCCAACUUAAAUGGAAGUGCCAGAAAAAUUACUGGAGCAACACGCUGCGUCAAGGGCUGUAGGGCUUCCCCCGUAACACCAUAAAUCUCUCCAGGUUCACUGGAAUCUGCAGCUAAGUAUUAAAUUCACUCUCACUAAAAACACAAACACUAAAAACCCACGUGGGUUUUUGGGUGGCUGAGCUUCAUUCUAUGCAAUGACCAAACCUUCAUAAGUCAAUGUUCUGAGAUAUACCCUGGAAGGUUGUAUAAAUAGUAAGUGAAUAAUAAGUCAGAAGAAUUUGAUCUGUCAGGAAGAAAGCAUGUUUGGACUCCCUGACUUUGAUAAAAAUUCAGUCUAAACUAAAGAAAAUAUUAGUUUGAUGAGCUCUUACAUGAGCUUUGUUACAGCAAUAUAAAAAUGAAAGGAGUUUUUAAAUCCAACAUAAUUAAGUGUAAGUACCCCAGGGAAAAAAAUCCUUCUCUGAGAUUGGACUGAUUUUUCAUAAAUAGAAAACCUCACAACAUUCCAUCACCACUGGGAGAAAAAUCAAUAAAUAAUCAAACAUGCUUGGCCACGAGAUCUCUACCAAUCCCAUCAUUCAGAUCUUCAUAUGCACUCUGAACUGUGACAAUAUUCAGAAGACACCACUUUUAUUAACGUGUCCCAUCCAAAGCUCACGCACAUCCUUCCAGUAGCCAAAGACGACUUCUGACCUGUGAGGAUGAGAUUGUGUUGGAAGACCUAAAAACAAUGUGAAGGUAAGGAGGGAAUCCCUCAAACGCUACUGCAUGCUAUUACAUGUGAGAAUAUGAUCGUAACCUGUGGACAUACAGAUGAGCUACAUGAGAAGUCGUUAUUAACAUUCGCUAUGAGAUACGGGAUACACGUAUGCAAAAAGAACACAGCUCAAAAUGCUUGCAGAUUCCCACUACCAUACCACGCACCUCAUCGCAGAGUGGAAUACAGACAAAUCAAUCUAUGCGGAAUUACUGUAGUUUCAGACAAAUGAUUUCUAGCAGCUUUUUAACUUCCAAGCUAAGGAAUCUGUAACGUACAAGGGAAGUGUGCAGCCGCCUGACCUCCCAGGCAUACAUUUGUAGCUCCAGUCAACUCCGUGCUUCAAAACAACUCUUUCAGAGCAUGGAAGGUGCGAGGCAGCUGGCAUAGAGAGCGAGCUGGAUCUAGAGCAGUGCAUGAGCUGGCACGGCUGAGCACAGUAAGUGCCAAGCAGAUUUGCAGUGAUUUAAACAGGGCUCGAACUACAGGAAAUGGGGGGGAGGAGGGAGGAGUUUGGAAACCUUGUUUUUGAACACGGUAUGGUAUUAUUUAAACACUAUGCCAUUACUUUCUUCAAAUGAAAUAUAAGUAAAGAACUCUGUAUCUUCAACUCA